rnacentral:rRNA from 1 species
AGGGUUUGAUCAUGGCUCAGGACGAACGCUGGCGGCAUGCCUAACACAUGCAAGUCGAACGGAGCUGUUAUCGCAGAAGCCUUCGGGCCGAAGGGAUAAGAGCUUAGUGGCGGACGGGUGAGUAACGCGUGGGUAACGUACCUUUUAGUGGGGAACAACAGUGAGAAAUUACUGCUAAUACCGCAUGAGAUUAGCCUAUCGCAUGAUAGGGUAAAGAAAGGCGGCCUCUCAAAGAAGCUGCCGCUAAAAGAUCGACCCGCGUCUGAUUAGCUAGUUGGUGAGAUAAAAGCCCACCAAGGCGACGAUCAGUAGCCGGCCUGAGAGGGUGAACGGCCACAUUGGGACUGAGACACGGCCCAA